UACGAGUGCCUCGAGCGUUAUCCGGAAUCAUUGGGCGUAAAGGGUGUGCAGGCGGUCUGAUUAGUCUUCUGUUAAAUUCUUCGGCUUAACCGGGGACAUGCAGGGGAAACGGUCAGACUUGAGGAUGCGAGAGGUUAACGGAACUCAUAGUGUAGCGGUGAAAUGCGUUGAUAUUAUGGGGAACACCAAAUGCGAAGGCAGUUAACUGGAGCACUCCUGACGCUGAAACACGAAAGCGUGGGUAGCGAAUGGG
rnacentral:rRNA from 1 species